rnacentral:rRNA from 1 species
ACCCUUUAAUGUUUGAUGUUCUAACGUGGACCCGUGAUCCGGGUUGCGGACAGUGUCUGGUGGGUAGUUUGACUGGGGCGGUCUCCUCCUAAAGAGUAACGGAGGAGCACGAAGGUUGGCUAAUCCUGGUCGGACAUCAGGAGGUUAGUGCAAUGGCAUAAGCCAGCUUGACUGCGAGCGUGACGGCGCGAGCAGGUGCGAAAGCAGGUCAUAGUGAUCCGGUGGUUCUGAAUGGAAGGGCCAUCGCUCAACGGAUAAAAGGUACUCCGGGGAUAACAGGCUGAUACCGCCCAAGAGUUCAUAUCGACGGCGGUGUUUGGCACCUCGAUGUCGGCUCAUCACAUCCUGGGGCUGAAGUAGGUCCCAAGGGUAUGGCUGUUCGCCAUUUAAAGUGGUACGCGAGCUGGGUUUAGAACGUCGUGAGACAGUUCGGUCCCUAUCUGCCGUGGGCGCUGGAGAACUGAGGGGGGCUGCUCCUAGUACGAGAGGACCGGAGUGGACGCAUCACUGGUGUUCGGGUUGUCAUGCCAAUGGCACUGCCCGGUAGCUAAAUGCGGAAGAGAUAAGUGCUGAAAGCAUCUAAGCACGAAACUUGCCCCGAGAUGAGUUCUCCCUGAGACUUAAAGUCUCCUGAAGGAACGUUGAAGACGACGACGUUGAUAGGCCGGGUGUGUAAGCGCAGCGAUGCGUUGAGCUAACCGGUA